CUGUUGAGGUUAACUGAUAGAGCAACGAGUGGAUGAAUUUGUAAGAGCAAAAUAUAUUGAAAUAAGUAUAAGUACAGGUUAAUUGAUAGAGCAACGAAUGGAUGAA